AGAACGAACGCUGGCGGCAGGCUUAACACAUGCAAGUCGAACGGUUGUAGCAAUACAGCAGUGGCAGACGGGUGAGUAACACGUGGGAACCUUCCUAGGGGUACGGAACAACUCAGGGAAACUUGAGCUAAUACCGUAUACGUCCGUGAGGAGAAAGUUUUAACGCCCCUAGACGGGCCCGCGUAGGAUUAGGUAGUUGGUGAGGUAACGGCUCACCAAGCCUACGAUCCUUAGCUGAUCUGAGAGGAUGAUCAGCCACACUGGGACUGAGACAUCGGCCCAGACUCCGUACGGGAGCAGCAGGUGGGAAUCGUUGGACAAGUGGGCGCAAGCCUGACUCCAGCCAUGCCGCGUGAGUGAAGA
rnacentral:rRNA from 1 species